UACCCCUAGCAAAUCUCAAAAAACCGAUCGUAGUCCAGAUUGGAGUCUGCAACUCGACUCCAUGAAGUCGGAAUCGCUAGUAAUCGCGGAUCAGAAUGCCGCGGUGAAUACGUUCCCGGGCCUUGUACACACCGCCCGUCACACCAUGGGAGUCUAUUGCACCAGAAGUAGCUAGCUUAACCUUCGGGAGGGCGGUUACCACGGUGUGGUCAGCGACUGGGGUGAAG
rnacentral:rRNA from 1 species